GAUUUGAUCCCUUGAACUUGAAUUAAUUGGACCACUCUUUUUUUCUCACAUGGAGUAUAGCUGGGCAUAAAAGAGAUCAAGUGUUAAUGAGGACCUUGAAAUGGAGUAUGUAUUAAGAUUCAUUAGUAGUGGUACAAAAUGUAAGCAUCACUAUGAUGUAAUUGAUAUAAACUUUGUAGGUUUUCAUUUUCAAUGUUGAAGUUGGAAAUUGCUUUGGUUGUUAUAAUACUAAUGAUCAAAAAAUAACUUUCACUAGA